UGGGUACAUUCUAAGUUUUGAAAGAUUUGUAAGAAAUGUUUUAGAAAGCGAACUUACAUAGUGUUAAACACUAAGUCAAUUUUCUCAAACAUUUCUUACAAAUCCUUCAAAACGUAGAAUUUACCGA